AUAAUAGUUUAUUAAUAGUUGGCAGAUAUAUUCAAGUGAAUAUUUCACGGAGGGGCGGCGCCCUAGCGCCCCCUAUUGACCCACCGCCACUGGUCGUGAGAGUUGCUGGACGGAGGGGUCGAGGAGGACGAAACGGAAUAAUGAAGUCCUGCAGGUGGGAACACUGUUGUUUUUUAUUGGUCGUCAUGAAAAAAAACAAAAAGGGUAACACUGUCGAUAUUUAUCAAAUAAAACAUAGGGGGUAACGCUUGUUUUUCUUUGGUCGUCAUGAAAAAAAACACAAGGGGUAACACUGUCGUUUUAAUCAAAUGUAACAUGAGGGGUAACACUGUCGUUUUUAUCAAAUGAAACAUGAGGGGUGACACUGUCAUUUUUCUUUGGUCGUCAUGAAAAAUCAUAAGGGGUAACACUGUCGUUUUUUUAUUGGUCGUCAUGAAAAAAAACAAGGGAAAUAAUAGAAAUACACACAUACAUUUUAAUGUCAUGUAUAUCCUCUUUAUUGAUGAUUGAUUAUUGUGUAUUGUCAUCGCCUCAGUGGUGCAGUGGAGUGCACUCCGCCUAACCCACUGGAGAUCGCGGCUCAA